rnacentral:rRNA from 1 species
UUGCCAUCAUUCAGUUGGGCACUCUAGCGAGACUGCCGGUAAUAAACCGGAGGAAGGUGGGGAUGACGUCAAAUCAUCAUGCCCCUUAUGACCUGGGCUACACACGUGCUACAAUGGUUGGUACAACGAGUUGCGAGUCGGUGACGGCGAGCUAAUCUCUUAAAGCCAAUCUCAGUUCGGAUUGUAGGCUGCAACUCGCCUACAUGAAGUCGGAAUCGCUAGUAAUCGCGGAUCAGCACGCCGCGGUGAAUACGUUCCCGGGCCUU